UCGGACGUGGUCCAGCGAAGGACGGCCUCUCCCAUUUAGCCAAUAUCCCGCGUUCGUUGAGGGGGCAAAUCCGGGUUCGACUCCCGGCGUCCGGA